UGGUGCUCCGUGUCCCAAAGGCAUCACACACAGCAUUCCAUAAGGAUUGCAGCUCUCUCCCUUCCCUCUCCCAGUGGUGCAGCCACACCAUCAAGGGUGACAACAAGGUCACUCCCUCCUGUUCCAGGUGAGCUCUUCAGAGAAAGCUCUGUCCUGUAGUAAACAGGCAAGGAUUGCACUAAGUCAUCUCCUAUGAGGAGACUGAAAACCCCAAUUGACUGAAAUAUUAUUUAUGAGGAAGAGAGAGGCACAACUGAAUUGUCGAGUGGGCCUGGUACUGCCACUGAGAGAGACGAGACGCUGAAACAACUGAACCUGUAUGUGACCUGUUUACCUAUUUUUAUAUUAUGUCUUUACAAUGGAAGUGUGGAAGUAUCAUUAUUCCUGCUUUGCAGGAGAGAAAGACCAAACGUAGAAAAUGAUUCGCCCAAGGCCAUGCAAUGCAUCAUCGGUG
rnacentral:lncRNA from 1 species